GCCCCGGUAAACGGCGGCCGUAACUAUAACGGUCCUAAGGUAGCGAAAUUCCUUGUCGGGUAAGUUCCGACCUGCACGAAUGGCGUAAUGAUGGCCAGGCUGUCUCCACCCGAGACUCAGUGAAAUUGAACUCGCUGUGAAGAUGCAGUGUACCCGCGGCAAGACGGAAAGACCCCGUGAACCUUUACUAUAGCUUGACACUGAACAUUGAGCCUUGAUGUGUAGGAUAGGUGGGAGGCUUUGAAGUGUGGACGCCAGUCUGCAUGGAGCCGACCUUGAAAUACCACCCUUUAAUGUUUGAUGUUCUAACGUUGGCCCGUAAUCCGGGUUGCGGACAGUGUCUGGUGGGUAGUUUGACUGGGGCGGUCUCCUCCUAAAGAGUAACGGAGGAGCACGAAGGUUGGCUAAUCCUGGUCGGACAUCAGGAGGUUAGUGCAAUGGCAUAAGCCAGCUUGACUGCGAGCGUGACGGCGCGAGCAGGUGCGAAAGCAGGUCAUAGUGAUCCGGUGGUUCUGAAUGGAAGGGCCAUCGCUCAACGGAUAAAAGGUACUCCGGGGAUAACAGGCUGAUACCGCCCAAGAGUUCAUAUCGACGGCGGUGUUUGGCACCUCGAUGUCGGCUCAUCACAUCCUGGGGCUGAAGUAGGUCCCAAGGGUAUGGCUGUUCGCCAUUUAAAGUGGUACGCGAGCUGGGUUUAGAACGUCGUGAGACAGUUCGGUCCCUAUCUGCCGUGGGCGCUGGAGAACUGAGGGGGGCUGCUCCUAGUACGAGAGGACCGGAGUGGACGCAUCACUGGUGUUCGGGUUGUCAUGCCAAUGGCACUGCCCGGUAGCUAAAUGCGGAAGAGAUAAGUGCUGAAAGCAUCUAAGCACGAAACUUGCCCCGAGAUGAGUUCUCCCUGACUCCUUGAGAGUCCUGAAGGAACGUUGAAGACGACGACGUUGAUAGGC
rnacentral:rRNA from 1 species